CCAGUCAGUUGGGCGAUCGCUGUUAUUAUUAGACAUUUGUUUGAUAUUAAUAGAGGAAAGUCCGGGCUCCUUGAAAACACGGUGGCGGCUAACAGCCGCCAAGGGCGACCUUAGGGAAAGUGCCACAGAAAGUAGUCCGCCGAAGCGGAACAUUUUUCCGUGGCAGCAAGGUUGAAAGGGUGUGGUAAGAGCGCACCGCACGCGCCGGCAACGGCGGUGGCAAGGUAAACCCCACCGGGAGCAAGGCCAAAUAGAGGUGUGUUGUGUAUAAUGUUUGCACAUAGCUAGUUUUCAAGUUUUCACCUGGGUUGGCUGCAAGAGAUGCCUGGUAACAGGUAUCCUAGAUGAAUGAUCGCCGUAAAAACUUUAGUUUUUUUACAGAACCCGGCUUAUAGACUGACUGGCAGA
rnacentral:RNase_P_RNA from 1 species